CUAAGAGAAAACACCCUUAAGGCCCUCGGUGGACCAAAACAAUACAAAAAACUGAAACUUACCGGUGGUGGGGCUUUCCGGUGCAGCGGCUCCUUCGGCUCACAUCGUGAUUUGGUGUUUUGCUCCGGUCAACCUGUAGAGGAGGAAACGGUGAUAACAAAGGUAGAAAAAUCACGUCGAACAGGAAUCGAGAAGGGCCUCAUCGGAGGCAAAAAUCGAGACACCCCGCAACGGCGCCGCUGGGCUUCUGCGGCAUUUUUCGGCCAAUUGGCCGGUGUUUUCGCUCCGAUUUAACUAUAGGUGGGUUUAAAAUCAAA
rnacentral:lncRNA from 1 species